GAUGAACGCUUUCCCCUUUCUUAACACAUGCAAGUCGAACGGUGAGGCAGAGCUUGCUCUGUGGAUCAGUGGCGAACGGGUGAGUAACACGUGAGCAACCUGCCCCUGACUCUGGGAUAAGCGCUGGAAACGGCGUCUAAUACUGGAUAUGAGCUGCGACCGCAUGGUCAGCAGUUGGAAAGAUUUUUCGGUCUGGGAUGGGCUCACGGCCUAUCAGCUUGUUGGUGAGGUAAUGGCUCACCAAGGCGUCUCCGGGGUGCCGGCCUGAGAGGGUGACCGGCCACACUGGGACUGAGACACGGCCCAGACUCCUACGGGAGGCAGCAGUGGGGAAUAUUGCACAAUGGGCGAAAGCCUGAUGCAGCAACGCCGCGUGAGGGAUGACGGCCUUCGGGUUGUAAACCUCUUUUAGCAGGGAAGAAGCGAAAGUGACGGUACCUGCAGAAAAAGCGCCGGCUAACUACGUG
rnacentral:rRNA from 1 species